GCCGCGCCUCUCCCUCCCGCAGGGUGGGCGCCGGCCCCGGGCGGUGCGCGGCGAGCGCGGCCGGGGCUCCGGGCCGGGGUCGCCACCCCGGGGCGGACGCGGGCGGAGGGAGGGGCCGGUGUGGGGCGGCUGGCGGCGGCGGCGGCGGUGCUGUCGACGGGGGCGGGGGCCGGGGGCCGGCGGGCUGUGGCAGGAGGUGACAAGGACUCCCAGCGGGACGCGCCGCGGAGCGCCGGGACUGCUCUAGCCGCCGCCCGGCCCCAUUCUCCCCUCUCGUUACUACAGUUCUUUAAAAAGCUCUCGUCGCCCUCCCUGCCACCAAAAAAAAUUAUUUUUUUUUAACGUCCUGUUGCUUCACAGGGGACUUUCGCGGUGGGCGUCACGUGGUCCGACACGUAGCCGUAAGGUGCGAGAGCGCGUGCGCGCGCCUGGGCCGACAGCCACGCCCCUUCCGAGGGUCGCCCCGCCCCCGCCCGGGCCCAGCGUGCGGUGGGGGGAUUUGAGGGGCCUGGCGUGCGCCUGCGUGGGGCAGGGGCGGGCGGGCGGGGCCGGGGAGGGUGCGCACAAGGAGGACGAGGGAGGGGGAGGUGUGCGGGCCUUUUUGCGAGAACCGCGCCUCGGUCUGUGGGGCCCGACGGACCCCGAAGGGCGGGGACGGGAAGCCGAGAGGUCUGAGCUCCGAGGCCCUCGCUGUAUCUUUUGUGCGGCCCCUUUUCGCCUUCGCAGGACUUGACCACGGCGGGCCCCGACUGCAGCUAGGUCGUUGGUGGGACCGCCCGACCCUCUCUCCGCCCCUCGUUCCCCCAUCCCGCAUCCCUGCGGUCUCCUUCGGUUCCCAGAGCCUCGCGGUGGGAAGGAGCCUGAGGAGUGGCGGGUCCCGCGUGGGCGCGCCUUGUCUCCCCGACGGCGUCGCCGCUCUCGGGUUCUGCUUCGUGAUGGCAUCGGCAUCCAGAAAUAAGAUGCAGCCGCAGUAAAGAAAUAAAGAGCAUGUGCCCUGUUGAAGAGCGAGAGUCAACAUUUCUAUUUGCAAAUUGCAGCAAUAACCAUACGAUGGGCACGAGGGUUUGCCAAGCACAAUGAUGGAUUUCAGAUUUUUAGUGCUCUCCCUGCGUGCCCGCGAGCCCGCCUCCAGGUGCUUUGCCACCGGAAGUCCACGCCGUGCAGAAGUGCACACAUACGUCCUUGCUGUUGUCUGCUGACCCUCCUUUUCAUUCUCCUCACAGCACUUGUUUCCUCCUGACACAGCCUGUCUAUGUGGACAUUGGAGGUGGGCAUGAGGGCCGGACGCCUCCCCUUGGAGACAAGCGCAGCACAGACAAUCCCCUGCCCUUUCUGUGUCACGCUCCGCCUUGGGCAUUGGAGGUCCACAGCACACCACUUCCCAGCCUGCCUGUCAGUGCAGUGAGAAUGCAGAAAUUCUUGGGAUACAUCUCUUGUCUUCAAGAAGCUUAAACAUCUAAAAAUGACUGUGGGAAGACCAAGGACAUUAGUGCAGAUAUGUCACAUGACCUUGGCAGGUGGCCCUGCGCACAAGGAGUGUGUGUGGGUGAGCCUCUCGUCGAAGAUCCCUGUGACUUUGCUCACGAAAAAUCUCUGAUAUGUUGACCCUAAAAAUGGUUCCAUAGCUAAUAUCAGUAAUUAACCACACGUUGUCUUAAAUUUGAUUUUAUUUGCUUAUGGCUAUUCUGGACAUUUAAAAUGUAAAAAAUUGCAGUAUCCCAAGCAUUCUUAUACUACAUCAUGUUCUUGCAGGAACAAAAAUGUUCCUUGGACUUAAGAAUCAAUGUUUGAUGGCUUUUGGUCCCAAAUGUUCUUUCUAAAAAUGUUAACCCUUGAAUUUUUCUAAAAGGGAAUGGGCAUUCCCUGUUUCUUUGUAAAGUAAAUCUUUGUUUAUCGUGUUAAUGGAUUUGUUGAGACUUCUUUUAAAUUGUGAGAGGGCUGAUCAGGUCUGUUUAAAAGGUGGAAAUGACACGUUGUAAGUGUGAACAUCUUCAUCAACACAUACCAGUCCCUGUCGCUAACCCCGAGGCGCUCCGGGCUGAGCCAGGUGGUAACAGUAACGUGGCACAUGGAAGGAGAGGUAGCCGGGGAAAGUGAACGCUGGAGACAGAGCGCUGUCUGCGUGGGGAGGGGCACCGCCUUCCAGGCCAGGAGCCUCGCGGGGCCGCUCAGGGGGCCACACGGGGCAGCUGGGGGGUGGGGGGCGGCCCUGGGCCUGGAAGCAGCAGCGCGAGUGCAGAUUGUAGACCUUGACGGACACGUGGCGGUGGCCGCGUGCCAGGCUCUCCGGUGGGAGUUUCCCACGAGACUAGUAGGUGCCAGAUUUCGGUCGUUCUCGAAUGUCAAGCUGAAGUGUUCAUAGACAGGAGACGUAGGAUUUUGUUUAACGCAAGGAAAUUAAUCAAUAAAACAGUAACAUGAAUUCUGUUCGGUGAGGUACAUUUGUAUCUGAUGGGGCUAACGCAACACUGGUCGAGUGAAAGGCACUGCUCUCCGUGGCAAUACCAGUCGGGCCGCCUUUCCAAACCACGGACACGUUUGCAGAUGUAACACUCACAUUUAGCUUAAACCACUGCACGGCAGUUAGCUAUUAACUGGCCGGGUCAGGUUUCCACUCAUUUGACCCCAAAGGAAACUUUAGAGGUAAAAAGCUUCUCAGCCCAGAGGCAGGCCCUUGUGCCAUGUAAUCCAAUCUUCAUUCCACAUUUAAACAGAAACUUGGACUUAAAAAUCAUUGUCUGUUAUAUAUAGGAACACGAGAGAAUUAAAAAUGCAUUUUUGUUUUGAUCAACUUUCAGGCGGAUUCAGAAUUUAAUGAUUGCAAAACAAUUUCCAUAGUGUUCCCCUGGGUUGGGUUGAUUUGUUGUGUUUUCCCUUUAGGAUGAAUCUGUGAUUUGCUUUUUUAACAUAUUAAAAAUGUUAAUAAUGUA